CUACGGGGUGCUGCAGUGGGGAAUAUUGCACAAUGGGCGCAAGCCUGAUGCAGCCAUGCCGCGUGUAUGAAGAAGGCCUUCGGGUUGUAAAGUACUUUCAGCGGGGAGGAAGGGAGUAAAGUUAAUACCUUUGCUCAUUGACGUUACCCGCAGAAGAAGCACCGGCUAACUCCGUGCCAGCAGCCGCGGUAAUACGGAGGGUGCAAGCGUUAAUCGGAAUUACUGGGCGUAAAGCGAACGCAGGCGGUUUGUUAAGUCAGAUGUGAAAUCCCCGGGCUCAACCUGGGAACUGCAUCUGAACUGGCAAGCUUGAGUCUCGUAGAGGGGGGUAGAAUUCCAGGUGUAGCGGUGAAAUGCGUAGAGAUCUGGAGGAAUACCGGUGGCGAAGGCGGCCCCCUGGACGAAGACUGACGCUCAGGUGCGAAAGCGUGGGGAGCAAACAGGAUUAGAUACCCCUGUAGUC
rnacentral:rRNA from 1 species